CGCUGGCGGCAGGCCUAACACAUGCAAGUCGAACGGUAACAGGAAGCAGCUUGCUGUUUGCUGACGAGUGGCGGACGGGUGAGUAAUGUCUGGGAAACUGCCUGAUGGAGGGGGAUAACUACUGGAAACGGUAGCUAAUACCGCAUAACGUCGCAAGACCAAAGAGGGGGACCUUCGGGCCUCUUGCCAUCGGAUGUGCCCAGAUGGGAUUAGCUGUGGUGGGGUAACGGCUCACCUAGGCGACGAUCCCUAGCUGGUCUGAGAGGAUGACCAGCCACACUGGAACUGAGACACGGUCCAGACUCCUACGGGAGGCAGCAGUGGGGAAUAUUGCACAAUGGGCGCAAGCCUGAUGCAGCCAUGCCGCGUGUAUGAAGAAGGCCUUCGGGUUGUAAAGUACUUUCAGCGGGGAGGAAGGGAGUAAAGUUAAUACCUUUGCUCAUUGACGUUACCCGCAGAAGAAGCACCGGCUAACUCCGUGCCAGCAGCCGCGGUAAUACGGAGGGUGCAAGCGUUAAUCGGAAUUACUGGGCGUAAAGCGCACGCAGGCGGUUUGUUAAGUCAGAUGUGAAAUCCCCGGGCUCAACCUGGGAACUGCAUCUGAUACUGGCAAGCUUGAGUCUCGUAGAGGGGGGUAGAAUUCCAGGUGUACGCGGUGAAAUGCGUAGAGAUCUGGAGGAAUACCCGGUGGCGAAGGCGGCCCCCUGGACGAAGA
rnacentral:rRNA from 1 species